rnacentral:tRNA from 1 species
GAAACACUAGUAUAAAGACCCACUACAUUGCUUUGUCAGGGCAAAAUUGCGGGUGGAACUCCCGCGUGUUUUA